rnacentral:rRNA from 1 species
UACAGAGGGGGCAAGCGUUAUUCGGAAUUACUGGGCGUAAAGGGCGCGUAGGCGGUGCUCUAAGUUAGAUGUGAAAACUCUGGGCUCAACCCAGAGCCUGCAUCUAAAACUGGAGUGCUAGAGUUCUGGAGGGGGUAGCGGAAUUCCUGGUGUAGCGGUGAAAUGCGUAGAUAUCAGGAGGAACACCGGUGGCGAAGGCGGCUACCUGGACAGAAACUGACGCUGAGGCGCGAAAGCUAGGGGAGCAAACAGG